AGAGUUUGAUCAUGGCUCAGAAUCAACGCUGGCGGCGCGCUUAACACAUGCAAGUCGCACGAGAAAGGGGAGCAAUCCCUGAGUACAGUGGCGUACGGGUGAGUAACACGUGGAUAAUCUACCUUCUAGUGGGGAAUACCCCUGGGAAACCGGGGAUAAUACCGCAUAAGCUCGUAAGAGGAAAGCAGCAAUGCGCUGGAAGAGGAGUCCGCGGCUGAUUAGCUAGUUGGUGAGGUAAUGGCUCACCAAGGCGAAGAUCGGUAGCCGGCCUGAGAGGGCACACGGCCACACUGGCACUGAAACACGGGCCAGACUCCUACGGGAGGCAGCAGUGGGGAAUCUUGCACAAUGGAGGCAACUCUGAUGCAGCGACGCCGCGUGAGCGAUGAAGCCCUUCGGGGUGUAAAGCUCUUUCGACGGGAACGAUAAUGACGGUACCCGAAGAAGAAGCUGCGGCUAACUACGUGCCAGCAGCCGCGGUAAUACGUAGGCAGCGAGCGUUGUUCGGAAUUACUGGNNNUAAAGAGUGCGUAGGCGGUGCUCUAAGUCUGUUGUGAAAUCUCCCGGCUCAACUGGGAGGGUGCGGCGGAAACUAGAGUGCUAGAGUAUGGGAGAGGUAAGCGGAAUUCCUGGUGUAGCGGUGAAAUGCGUAGAUAUCAGGAGGAACACCUGUGGUGUAGGCAGCUUACUGGACCAUGACUGACGCUGAGGCACGAAAGCGUGGGUAGCAAACAGGAUUAGAUACCCUAGUAGUCC
rnacentral:rRNA from 1 species